GCAAGGUUGAAGACUAAUAAGGACUACUAUGUGUUUGUCGAAAGGGAUUGUUUCUUUGGCAAUACUACAUAUUCGCAGACCUUUGCAGUUUCACAAUGGUAGCAAAUACUCUGCUCCGAAAACGAACAGAAGGUGGCUAGUGUUGGAAGUUGGAGGGAACAUUUGGUGUACCAUGUUGGCAUUAAAAUGAGAGAGUAUAUAUCCUUUGCGUGUGCGCUUCUGCUUCAGUCCACCACUGCACCAAGACGGUAUAUUCAUCGCAAGUCAGUCAGACUCUGAUACUCUGCAAACAUGGCCGACAAACCAAACCUGGAGGAGGUAACCAGCUUUGACAAGACCAAGCUGAAGAAGACUGAGACUCAAGAGAAAAAUCCCCUGCCAUCACAAGAAACCAUUGAACAGGAGAAGAAGGCUUCGUGAACACGGAAGCUCCACCAUGCACUGUACAUUCCACAAGCAUUGCCUUCUUUUUCACUUUUUAGCUGUUUAACUUUGUAACCGAAAAACCUAAGUUGCAUUGUGAUUGGACGAAAGCAGAUGACUGUGCAGCACCCCCCUGCCCCCCUCCCCACGUAGCUCUUAGCCCCUUCUUACAGCAAGGAUGAACGAAAACUACUGACUGUCUGUACAGAGAAACCUGCCGCCCACCCUCCCGCCACGGCGUAGCUCCCCUCUUGUUCCCCUUCCCCUCUACCAGACAUCUCGCCUGCUUCAAACACCUCCGCAUGGCAAUAUGAGGAAGAGCAAGGGCGUGGCCAACCAAUCGCAGGACUCGCACGCUCUCCAUGUCUGAAUAGUGUGGCUUCUGGCAUAUUGUAAAAUGCUUUCAAAUUGGGCAAAAAUUUCUUGUGUUUUUUUUUUUUUUUUUUUCAUUUCAAUUCUUGGAAUGCACAUUUUGUUUUGAUAUGCAAAUAAAAAUGUAAAACCCAUGAUUAAUGUUGUGCUUCCAUUUCUAGAUUUUAUAUGCAUAGACAUACAUAGGUGAUUGCCAACCACAGUUUUACACCUAAAUUGAGAACAUUUUGACAGCAUUUGUUUUUUUAUUACCUGGGGUGCAUCUAAUCUCAUUCUGUGCAGAAAUGAAUGGAUAUAUGUUUUGAAUUUGUCUCAAAAUUGUUAUAUUGAGUUUCCUGUAUUGAAAUUCUAGCUCUUGCGUACAAGAAUACUGGAAACCAAAAUAUAUAAUAAACCUUUUUUUUAAAUGCA